GUUCGCCCAUUAAAGCGGUACGUGAGCUGGGUUCAGACCGUCGUGAGACAGGUCGGUCUCUAUCCGCUGUGGGCGUAAGGGAUUUGAGAGGAGCUGCCCCUAGUACGAGAGGACCGGGGUGGACAGACCUCUAGUGUGCCAGUUGUCGUGCCAACGGCAUUGCUGGGUAGCUACGUCUGGCAGGGAUAACCGCUGAAAGCAUCUAAGCGGGAAGCUCGCCUCAAGAUUAGAUCCCUCAUCCGUUUUGGAGUAAGACCGCUAGGAGACUACUAGCUUGAUAGGCGGCAUGUGUAAGUGCAGUAAUGUAUUUAGCUAAGCCGUACUAAUGGUCGAGGGCUUACGUUCC
rnacentral:rRNA from 1 species